rnacentral:lncRNA from 1 species
UCUUCUGAUUUCAAUGUUGUCUUGAUUCAUUCCAGGAUUACAGAAGCUUGUCCUGUUAAAUUUGGAAGGGUGCCUUGUAACAUCUGCAUGCUUGGAUUCUCUGGCAGGUUGAAAUCCUUCAUAGAAUUUUAAGCUUACUUUGAUGAUUUUAUUAUGCCUAUGUUUAGGCAUAAUUGCACUAAAUUCUUGUUAUGAUAUAACUUUGAUUAUUUCCUCAUUAUCCCAUGACUGCUUUAAGCUUGGUCUUUUUUUUGACUGGGCGAGUGUUAUAAGAUUGAAGCUGAAAUGCUGUUUAAUAGGAUGUCUUGAGCAUACCACUCCGCAUAGAUUCUGAUAACAUGGAGAGGGGGGGAUCUGAUUCUAGUCAUAGAAAUAUUUAUCUGGAUUUUAUUUAUUAUUCCUUUAAAUUAGUUUUCUCAUUCGGGAGAGUAAUGGGUUCAUACCUUAAUGCUUUAACAAAAAGAACCAAAAUUUUGUUUCUCAUAUACAUACAGUAUACACCUUUUUUCCUUUUUAGUAGCAUUGAGUUUCUUUUAAUUUUUUUUUUUAAAUAACAAAUGUUAGUAAUUACUAAAUAGUUGUCAAAAAUGUUGGUGGUGGAAGUUGAACCCACAACCUGUUAUCUCUCCGACAGUCCGACUCUUAUGUUACACUUUGAAACAGCUGGUAUUUGUUAUUAUUAUAUAAGAGAACUCCGUUCAUUGGAUGUACAAACUGUAACUUAAUCAUGUCUUUCUAGUAUAUAAUAACUUAAUGAGGAUGCAUGCCCAUUGAAUUUUUUAUUUAGUAUUGUUAUGUUUCCUGCCAGAAC